AUAAAUAAAAUCUUAAAAAAAAAAAAAAGAAAUGGGCAAAGUUCUCACCUCUUCGAGGUCGUAUAUACUUUGAUAAGGAAGAGUGAAUUUUAUUCUUUUUGGUAGUGAAAUUGAGUUUUCCCUUUUGUAAGACAAUAUAUACAUAUUGAAAACAAUAAAUGAAUCCUGACUCUGAAAUAUGGGGCACAAGGGUCAGUGGCAGUUGGGGGUCAGUGGCUGUUGGGUUUCAGUGUUUUCUCUGACACCCGCUCUGCUCUGUCAUCCUCGGAAUGGAUUCCUUGGAGCUGCGUGAAGCAUCUUUUCCAUGGUCGUGAGCUCCUGGUUUCCUCUACAGAAGAGGACAGAGGUUAAUAACGGGCGCGCUCCAGCUUAUUGCAACAUUCAGCAGAGGUCACGACCCUCUGGUUGUGUCUGUGUUUUAGGAGUGUGGAGACCGUAAUGGAUGCGCUCAGCUGAUUUCAUACCUUCGUGGGCGUGAGUUCUGUGGUUCCCUCUGCGUGGUUGAAGGAUGCAGGUUCAUGUGAGUAACAGUUGAAGUUCUCUUCUAGGUUAAGUGGUUUUCUUAAGACACGGAGACCUGCCGUAAGGAUCCGUCCCUCUGAUCAUGAGCUCGAGGGUGGAGGUUCCGGCGUGGGAGUCUGGAGACGAGUAAUGGUCACCAUCAGCUGACGGAAGCGAACCACCCUAGUCGCCAGCUUCGUGGUUGAAUCUGUGGGUGAUAGCGUGGACCCA